rnacentral:misc_RNA from 1 species
GAUGAAGAACGUAGUGAAAUGCGAUAAGUAGUGUGAAUUGCAGAAUUCAGUGAAUCAUCGAAUCUUUGAACGCACAUUGCGCCCUUUGGUAUUCCAAAGGGCAUGCCUGUUCGAGCGUCAUUUGUACCCUCAAGCUUUGCUUGGUGUUGGGCGUCUUGUCUCUAGCUUUGCUGGAGACUCGCCUUAAAGUAAUUGGCAGCCGGCCUACUGGUUUCGGAGCGCAGCACAAGUCGCACUCUCUAUCAGCAAAGGUCUAGCAUCCACUAAGCCUUUUUUUCAACUUUUGACCUCGGAUCAGGUAGGGAUAUCCGCUGAACUUAAGCAUAUCAAUAAGCGGAGGA